rnacentral:rRNA from 1 species
GAUGAACGCUGGCGGCGUGCCUAAUACAUGCAAGUCGAGCGAACAGAUAAGGAGCUUGCUCCUUUGACGUUAGCGGCGGACGGGUGAGUAACACGUGGGUAACCUACCUAUAAGACUGGAAUAACUCCGGGAAACCGGGGCUAAUGCCGGAUAACAUUUACAACCGCAUGGUUCUAAAGUGAAAGAUGGUUUUGCUAUCACUUAUAGAUGGACCCGCGCCGUAUUAGCUAGUUGGUAAGGUAACGGCUUACCAAGGCAACGAUACGUAGCCGACCUGAGAGGGUGAUCGGCCACACUGGAACUGAGACACGGUCCAGACUCCUACGGGAGGCAGCAGUAGGGAAUCUUCCGCAAUGGGCGAAAGCCUGACGGAGCAACGCCGCGUGAGUGAUGAAGGUCUUCGGAUCGUAAAACUCUGUUAUUAGGGAAGAACAAAUGUGUAAGUAACUGUGCACGUCUUGACGGUACCUAAUCAGAAAGCCACGGCUAACUACGUG